GAGUGAAGUAGUCUCCUCUUGGGUGGAAUGGAAGGAUUGGAAGGGAUAAUAGAGAGGCUUUUGGAAGGAAGGAAUAACAGAGGGAAACGCAUUCACCUUACUGAACCUGAAAUCAGAAACCUUUGUCUCACUGCCAAGCAAGUCUUCCUCGCUCAGCCUGUUCUUCUUGAGCUAGAAGCUCCCAUCAACAUUUGUGGUAUAUGAAAUCCACUUUCAUUCUCUUCCUUGAUUCCCUGAUUGUUCCCUUUUUCUCUUGUCUUGUUCAUAUGUUCAUCUAUUUCAUUGUUACUCUGAGGGUUCUCUUGCUCCUUUGCCUGUUUCGUUUGUUUCCCUUAUAUGAUUAUCUCGUAGGAAAUGCUUUAAAAAUUGAACUGCAUAUGGCAGAUUUGGGCCUGGGACUCCCGAGCCUUUUGUUCUAGGGCUUUCAAGCCUCCAAAAUAUAUUGAAAUCAUGGGAAAGUAUGAAGCAACUGUGUGCUGUUGUCCAUCAAUUUUUGCUUGAUAGCUGUAUUUCUUGGUUGUUCGAGUAAAAGGUCGAAGCAUUGAAUCUACAAACUUACCUGUAAUUACUUGCAUUCUGAACAAUAAACUUACUAAUUUAGCCAAUCCCAAUUCAUGACUUGAUACUUGCAUGCUUUACUCGCUAAUUCAACUAAUAAUUUAGACAAAUGCGAGAAUUUGAUUAUGAAGACUCCCAAUAUCCAAGCACAGUGCCACAGAAGUCAUGUCUUUACAAGAAUUAAAUGUCAUUAAUGUUCCAUGUGAAGCACCACCCCAUCAAGAAUGAUAAAUGGGUAGUUUUGAUACUUAAUAAUCUGUAAUUGCUUGCUACUAUCUGGAAUUUGUCUUGGAUAUGCAGGUGACAUACACGGCCAAUAUCCAGAUCUCU
rnacentral:misc_RNA from 1 species